rnacentral:rRNA from 1 species
AGUGAACGCUGGCGGUAGGCCUAACACAUGCAAGUCGAACGGCAGCACAGUAAGAGCUUGCUCUUACGGGUGGCGAGUGGCGGACGGGUGAGGAAUACAUCGGAAUCUACUUUUUCGUGGGGGAUAACGUAGGGAAACUUACGCUAAUACCGCAUACGACCUACGGGUGAAAGCAGGGGAUCUUCGGACCUUGCGCGAUUGAAUGAGCCGAUGUCGGAUUAGCUAGUUGGCGGGGUAAAGGCCCACCAAGGCGACGACCCGUAGCAGGUCUGAGAGGAUAAUCAGCCACACUGGAACUGAGACACGGUCCAGACUCCUACGGGAGGCAGCAGUGGGGAAUAUUGGACAAUGGGCGCAAGCCUGAUCCAGCCAUACCGCGUAGGUGAAGAAGGCCUUCGGGUUGUAAAGCCCUUUUGUUGGGAAAGAAAAGCAGCAGGUUAAUACCCCGCUGUUCUGACGGUACCCAAAGAAUAAGCACCGGCUAACUUCGU